rnacentral:snRNA from 1 species
GGAUGUGAGGUCAAUCUGGCACAACAUCUGUUACCUAAUUGAUCACCAGGGUGAAUUCAGCUGAUGUGGCUGGUAGGGAGGUGUCCUCUUCCUCCCUCAUCAUUCCAGGUAUGUUCCUCCUGAAACUGUGUGCUGGGUCAAGGAGGACUACCUUCCAGAAUAGACCAGUCUUUGGUCAAAGUAUAUGAGUAGCUGGACUUCCCUGCUAGAACCUCCAAACAAGCUUUCAAAUUCAUGGCCACUUUUCCCCAUUGGACUCUUAUUUAUAAUUGUUUUUACACACACACACACACACACACACACACACACACACACACACACACACACAGUAUUGU